UCACAUCAAGAGAAAAACAAGAAUAAUACAGAUUUACAUAUUUCUAACCAUAUUUGAAUUAAAUUGAUAUAAAUUCAUGAUGUCGAGAAGCGCCCAAUAUUGUCAAAUUUGAAUACCGAUUUUCGUUGAAAACAAUUUAAUAAUGGAAUCACCACCAGCGGGGAUAAACGUUCGAGAGCUCGCAUUAAAUAAUCCGCUGAUUUUGUCACAAAUCCUAAAACAGAGCUCAACCCGAUUGAAAACUGCACGACUCGUCUCCCAAUUUUGAAAUGAAAUCGUCCUAUCCCUUCAGAAUACGAGACUCGCGUUACCCCUAAAUUACGAAGUUUUCCCCUUUUUCAACUUAUCCGAUGACCGACUCGCGAAACGAAUUAGCGCCACACGUUACAACAAUAAGGACGCACUACGAGAAUUCCCCGCUAAACUAAUCCACCUUUGUGACAAGUUUACCGAUAGGGUAGAAAUUUUGGAAAUUUUCAUAGACUGUGAAAACUGUCUGCCACCCGUGUACCAAGUUUUGAAAAAUUGUUGCCCAAAUUUGAAACAGUUUCGAAUUUUGUGCACAUUUCCAACGUCAAAUUGGCUCCGUCUAUCGCCCAGCGACGAAGAAAUGUUGAGCGUACCGCUUCAACGAAAAGGUAAUUUGGCCCUGUUCACGCUCAGUUCGAAGCCGGUUAUUCCAUUUCUUACGAGACUGGCUCAGCUGGUUGUGGACUCGGCGGCCAAUUUGCGCGAGGUCACGCUUCCCUGUGGAUACUGUCCGGAUUUGGGGAACUGCAAGAAUCUCGACUCUCUGACCAUAGCGGUCGACGACCCUGAAAACUUUACACAUUAGUACAUACAGUGGGAAUUAUACAAGGCACGAUUUAACUGAGGCUGACAUCGAACUGUUUAAGGAACUCCUCUAUACGAUGGGUGGAAUGGAUCAGGUCAAAAUUUGCAAUCUUUUCGUGAGUUAAUACUACAUUCAUUAGAAAAUAGAUACAUA